rnacentral:rRNA from 1 species
UACGUAGGGUGCGAGCGUUGUCCGGAAUUACUGGGCGUAAAGAGCUCGUAGGUGGUUUGUCGCGUUGUCCGUGAAAACUCACAACUCAAUUGUGGGCGUGCGGGCGAUACGGCCAGACUGGAGUACUGCAGGGGAGACUGGAAUUCCUGGUGUAGCGGUGGAAUGCGCAGAUAUCAGGAGGAACACCGGUGGCGAAGGCGGGUCUCUGGGCAGUAACUGACGCUGAGGAGCGAAAGCGUGGGGAGCGAACAGG